CGCAGGGGUUCUGCGCCUGCGCGUUAGCCCACAGGCAUAGCUGGUGACUGGAGGUGAAGCUGAAGUCGGCUGCAAACCUGUCUCUAGGAAGUCUCUAGAACUUACAUAAUUUAGCCUGAUGAGUUGAAGAAAAAAGUUUUUGCCCAAGAAAAAUAAUCUGUUUAAUCUUCAUAGCCAAGUUACUUUAGUUAUCCAGAUGCAAGUAGGAAGACUGUUCAGAGUUGAUAUUAUGAGAGCUUUCUAUAAGUCCUUUCCCCAAAUGUUCUCUGGCUCUGUCUUCAGCCACUGAGCUGUGUUUUAUUCUCUGCAGGCCCCAGAUGGCCA